UUAGUUCUCGCAAUACCUUUGUGGAAAGUCUUCUUGCUAAGGGUUGCCUGACUGAAGUGCAGAAUGUGGAGGAGUGUGAUGUCAUUCUGGCAUUCUGUUCUGAGUCUGGAACUGACAUUGAAUCAGCACUACAGAAAAUUCCAGCUGAUAAGCCUGCCAUUCUGGUGGUGGUGCACCACACUCAUGACCCAAACCAGACUGUGCCUGAGAGCAGCAGACAUGUGACCAGAAAUGAUGUAUUUUCAGUAGACUGUCUGUUCCAUGAGAGCCAGGGAUUACUGAAGUGUAAACGCAAUGAUGAAGCAGUAAAGAUUGUCCUGGGGAGACUGGAUGAGCAUUCAAACAUCCUGCAUAGACCCUCUCAUAAUAAUAAACAGGAACUGAAUGAAAAGGCACCUGCUACUCCUGCUCAAGACCCAGAACUGAAUGAACAGG